UGAAUACGAGACGCUAAGGCGUCGAAGUAGUGUAUGUCAUACUUCCAAGAAAAGCUUGCACUGUCAUAGAUAAAAAACGCCUGUACCAUAACCGACGCAGGUGGGUAGGUAGAGUAUACUAAGGGGCGCGAGAUAACUCUCUCUAAGGAACUCGGCAAAAUAACUCCGUAACUUCGGGAGAAGGAGUGCCUUAUUCGUAAGGUUGCAAUAACAAGAUCCAAGCAACUGUUUAUCAAAAACACAGGUCUCCGCUAAGUCGUAAGACGAUGUAUGGGGGCUGACGCCUGCCCAGUGCCAGAAGGUUAAAGAAGUUGGUUAGCAAUUGCGAAGCUGAUAACUGAAGCCCUGGUGAACGGCGGCCGUAACGAUAACGGUCCUAAGGUAGCGAAAUUCCUUGUCGGGUAAGUUCCGACCCGCACAAAAGGCGUAAUGAUUUGGAUACUGUCUCGGAGAGGGGCUCGGUGAAAUAGACUUGUCUGUGAAGAUGCGGACUACCUGCACCAGGACAGAAAGACCCUAUGAAGUUUUACUGUAACUUGAAAUUGAAAUUGGACUUUAUUCGCGCAGUAUAGGUGGGAGGCGUUGAUUAUAAUCUUGUGGGAUUAUUGGAGCCAUCAGUGAGAUACCACUCUUGUAAUGUUAGAUUUCUAACUUUGAAUCAUUAUCUGGUCAAAGAACAGUUUCAGGCGGGCAGUUUGACUGGGGCGGUCGCCUCCUAAACGGUAACGGAGGCGUACAAAGGUUUCCUCUGAACGGUUAGAAAUCGUAUCUAGAGUGUAAAGGCAUAAGGAAGCUUGACUGUGAGACCUACAAGUCGAGCAGGGACGAAAGUCGGUCUUAGUGAUCUGACGGUACUGAGUGGAAAGGCCGUCACUCAACGGAUAAAAGUUACUCUAAGGAUAACAGGCUGAUCUCCCCCAAGAGUUCACAUCGACGGGGAGGUUUGGCACCUCGAUGUCGGCUCAUCGCAUCCUGGGGCGGUAGUACGUCCCAAGGGUUGGGCUGUUCGCCCAUGAAAGCGGUACGCGAGCUGGGUUCAGAACGUCGUGAGACAGUUCGGUCCAUAUCCGGUGUAGGCGUUAGAAUAUUGAGAGGAGCCUUCUUUAGUACGAGAGGACCGAGAAGGACAUACCUCUGGUGUACCAGUUAUCGUGCCAACGGUAAACGCUGGGUAGCUAUGUAUGGAGUGGAUAACCGCUGAAAGCAUCUAAGUGGGAAGCCCACCUCAAGAUAAGUAUUCUCA
rnacentral:rRNA from 1 species